rnacentral:rRNA from 1 species
UACGUAGGGUGCAAGCGUUAUCCGGAAUUAUUGGGCGUAAAGAGCUCGUAGGCGGUCUGUCGCGUCGGCUGUGAAAACCCGGAGCUCAACUCCGGGCCUGCAGUCGAUACGGGCAGACUGGAGUUCGGCAGGGGAGACUGGAAUUCCUGGUGUAGCGGUGAAAUGCGCAGAUAUCAGGGGGAACACCGGUGGCGAAGGCGGGUCUCUGGGCCGAUACUGACGCUGAGGAGCGAAAGCGUGGGGAGCGAACAGG